rnacentral:rRNA from 1 species
UACGAGGGGGCAAGCGUUGUUCGGAAUUAUUGGGCGUAAAGGGUGCGUAGGCGGUUUGGUAAGUCUGAUGUGAAAUCUAUGGGCUCAACUCAUAGUCUGCAUCGGAAACUGCCGGGCUUGAGUGUGGGAGAGGUGAGUGGAAUUCCUGGUGUAGCGGUGAAAUGCGCAGAUAUCGGGAAGAACACCCGUGGCGAAGGCGGCUCUCUGGGACGGUACUGACGCUGAGACGCGAAAGCGUGGGGAGCGAACAGG